AAUCAACGCUGGCGGCGUGCCUAACACAUGCAAGUCGAACGCGAGAGAGGCUUCGGCCUCAAUUGAGUGGCAAACGGGUGAGUAACACGUGGGUGACCUACCUUCGAGUGGGGGAUAACGUCCCGAAAGGGACGCUAAUACCGCAUAACAUCCUGCCUUUGAACAGGCGGAGAUCAAAGCCGGGGAUCGUAAGACCUGGCGCUUGAUGAGGGGCCCGCGUCUGAUUAGCUAGUUGGUGAGGUAACGGCCCACCAAGGCGACGAUCAGUAUCCGGCCUGAGAGGGCGGACGGACACACUGGGACUGAGACACGGCCCAGACUCCUACGGGAGGCAGCAGUGGGGAAUUGUUCACAAUGGGCGCAAGCCUGAUGACGCAACGCCGCGUGGAGGAUGAAGGUCUUCGGAUUGUAAACUCCUGUUGCUCGGGACGAAAAGCUUCGACCUAAUACGUCGAGGUCUGACGGUACCGAGUGAGGAAGCCCCGGCUAACUCUGUGC
rnacentral:rRNA from 1 species